rnacentral:rRNA from 1 species
AUUGAACGCUGGCGGCAGGCUUAACACAUGCAAGUCGAGCGGUAACAGAGAGAAGCUUGCUUCCCUGCUGACGAGCGGCGGACGGGUGAGUAAUGCCUAGGAACCUGCCUAGUAGUGGGGGAUAACUUGCCGACCGGUAAGCUAAUACCGCAUACGUCCUCCGGGAGAAAGGAGGGGACCUUCGGGCCUCUCGCUAUCACAUGAGCCCAGGUCGGAUUUGUUAGUUGGCGAGGUAACGGCUCACCAAGACCGCGAUCCGUAACUGGUCUGAGCGGAUGAUCAGUCACACUGGAACGGAGACACGGUCCAGACUCCUACGGGAGGCAGCAGUGGGGAAUAUUGGACAAUGGGGGGAACCCUGGUCCAGCCAUGCCGCGUGUGUGAAGAAGGUCUUAGGAUUGUAAAGCACUUUAAGUUGGGAGGAAGAGCAGUUAACUAAUAUUUGACUGUUUUGACGUUACCGACAGAAUAAGCACCGGCUAACUUCGUGCCAGCCGCCGCAGUAA